rnacentral:rRNA from 1 species
GAUGAACGCUAGCUACAGGCUUAACACAUGCAAGUCGCGGGGCAGCAUGGGGGUUGCUUGCAAUCCCCGAUGGCGACCGGCGCACGGGUGAGUAACGCGUAUCCAACCUGCCCUUCACCACGGGAUAACCCGGCGAAAGUCGGACUAAUACCGUAUGUUGUCCAUUGACGGCAUCCGAUUUGGACGAAAGGUUUGGCGGUGAAGGAUGGGGAUGCGUCCGAUUAGCUGGACGGCGGGGUGACGGCCCACCGUGGCGACGAUCGGUAGGGGUUCUGAGAGGAAGGUCCCCCACACUGGAACUGAGACACGGUCCAGACUCCUACGGGAGGCAGCAGUGAGGAAUAUUGGUCAAUGGGCGUAAGCCUGAACCAGCCAAGUAGCGUGCAGGAUGACGGCCCUAUGGGUUGUAAACUGCUUUUAUGCGGGGAUAAAGUGGCCCACGUGUGGGUUUUUGCAGGUACCGCAUGAAUAGGGACCGGCUAAUUCCG